UCCUAAACCUGUAUUCAAGUUCAAAGUGUCU
rnacentral:piRNA from 1 species